rnacentral:rRNA from 1 species
GACGAACCGAGCGAACGUUGUUCGGAAUCACUGGGCUUAAAGGGCGCGUAGGCGGGCAUUCAAGUCCGUGGUGAAAUACCUCAGCUCAACUGAGGAACUGCCUCGGAUACUGGGUGCCUCGAGGGUGGUAGGGGUAUGCGGAACUAUCGGUGGAGCGGUGAAAUGCGUUGAUAUCGAUAGGAACUCCGGUGGCGAAGGCGGCAUACUGGACCACGUCUGACGCUGAGGCGCGAAAGCCAGGGGAGCAAACGGGAUUAGAAACCCCCGUAGUCC